GCCGAGGUAGCUCAACGGUAGAGCACUCGCUUCGUAAGCGAUAGGUUGUGGGUUCAAGUCCCAUCCUCGGCU
rnacentral:tRNA from 1 species